rnacentral:rRNA from 1 species
AGUGAACGCUGGCGGUAUGCCUAACACAUGCAAGUCGAGCGGCAGCACAGUAAGAUCUCUCCCUUACGGGUGGCGAGGGGCGGACGGGUGAGGAAUAGAUAACAAUCUACUUUUUCUUGGGGGACAACGUAGGGAAACUUACGCUACUACCUCAUACAACCUACGGCAGAAAUCAGUAGUGCUUCACACCUUUGCCGACUCAAUUAGACGAUGCCGCAUUAGCUAGUUGGCUUGGUAAAGGCCCACCAAGGCAACGAUGCGUAGCUGAUCUGAGAGGAUGAUCAGCCACACUGGAACUGAGACACGGUCCAGACUCCUACGGGAGGCAGCAGUGGGGAAUAUUGGACAAUGGGCGAAAGCCUGAUCCAGCCAUACCGCGUGGGUGAAGAAGGCCUUCGGGUUGUAAAGCUCUUUUGUUGGGAAAGAAAAGCAGCAGGUUAAUCCCCCGAUGUUCUGACGGUACCCAAAGAAUAAGCACCGGCUAACUUCGUG